UCCAUGUUCUGACGGUGAUAUAAAUAAAGAUGUGAGCUCACUCUAUGUAGAAAUAAUAGAAAAUAAUCGAUCGUACUAAAAUGCACGGUUUGUGGCCGAAAGUUGUCGAAGAAACAAAGACUCAAAACCCACUUGAGUUGUGUUCAUAGCAAAGAUGCGAAUACCUGGGACUUCAAAGAUCUUUUAUAGCUGCUCUAGAAGAUACGUCAUCUUUUAAUGCCAGAAUAGGUGUCUUCACUAGGUUUCCUGCAUAAAUACCUCCUUUUUUCAUGUGCCCAUAAGGAAUGGAGAUUCUUUCAAUACAAAUUGUACCUUUUAGCAGGCCUCACCUGGAUGGAUUUCCCCUCAUAUACAAUGUAGGGCCGUAUGUCUACUAUAUAUAUAGAUAGAUAGAAGGAUGAAGGGAUUGAUUGAUAUCUUAUAUUAUUUCGUGUAUGAAUGGUGCAUGGUUUUGCUAUUUUUGCAAAUGUCUUCAAAACCUAGCCCUUUCACCCCUAAAAGUGAUUAGCAUGUAAUUUCUCCUUGCAAUAUCUCCCCAAAAUCACACACAUAAAGGUCACAAGAAUAAAGGAAAUGAUCUCCAACUAAAGAAGUUCUUGAUUGUUAACCAGAUUCUCCUUAUCAACACCUUAAGAAAUGUAUAAUGAACAGUAUGGAGAAUAUGUAUGCUGAUGUUAGCAUGUAAAGGGUUAAAUCAGAGACUCUGCCUUUAUUAUACUAUAGGGGCAGGCCCUAGUUGUUCAAAGCCUGGUCAGCUUUGUAUGUAUACAACAUAUGUGUUGCCAUUACAAAAGUCUACAUUUUAAAGUUGAUUCAUUCAUAAACAGACACUUAAGUUCAAAUAAUGAUGAUAUUGAUAAUAUUAAAAAAAAAUCUUUAUUCACUCAACAAAAUAAGUAUUAAACUUCACAUAACAUUUAUAUGAUUAACUUAUUAGAAACACUUUCAGCAAAAAAUUUAUCAUAAUCAUUAUGGUAAAUUGUAUUUGAAGUAAAGCCUAUUGGAAAAAUUACUUAAUUUGUACUGUUCAAUAUUAAAUAGGCAGUUGACUAAUGCUUUGUCUUGAUGGUAGAGAGGACACUUUAAGUUGGGGUAACAUGGGGUAAGAUGGGUGGAAACUGUUUCUAUUAAUUUCUUUUAUAUUUUUCUUUACAGUAAACCAAUGUAUCACUUUUUCAUCUUUCUAUUAGGCAAAAAAUUACCCUCUUAUUAUGAAGAGAUAUUGAUUGCUGACAGGGACAAGGUUUACAGCCAUAUUCUGCUUCU